rnacentral:lncRNA from 1 species
GGCCUCGCCCAACUAGUCCUGGUAUGCCUGGGGCUUCCCGGGUUUUAGCACUGAAAGGCCCACGUCCCGGACGAACCGGGACAGUUGGUCCCCCUCCGUGAGCAAACUUGCUCCUCCGCCCGGAGGGGAGAAGGCGGGGCCGAUGGGCCCCACCCCAGCGCGCAGGGCCUUCAGCCAUUGACCGAGAGCGGGACAGAGCACCCGGGCGAGCUCUGCCGGGCAACCCGAGCCCGAUUCUCAGCCGCUGCCCAGAGCCUCUCAGCCUCAGGCCCCUCCCUGGCACUGCCUUUCCCAGACCCGCUUCUUCCUGGAAAAUCAAGAUUGAGCUGAGCUGGAGAGUGUGCCUGGCAAAACCUGAGCCCCAAGCAUUUCUGCCCUGAUUGGAUCCUUGUCACUAACCAAGCUUAUUCCAAGCUUGGGACCUUUACACCGUCCUCUGCCUGGAAUCCCCAAGAUGGAUGCACAGCUGGCUCCUUCCAAUCAUCGUUCCAGUCUCACUUCAUGCGUCACCUCAGGGAGGUGACCUGAUCACCAUCAUUGUAGGUCCUUCUGGUUGUGCUAUGCAGGACGCUGCCCCAGCAUGGCUUGAUGAGCGGUGCCAUGUCCCCGCCCAGGAUCUGAACCGGCAAAACCCUGGGCCGCUGAAGCAGAGUGCGUGAACUUAACCACUCGGCCACGGGGCCGGCCCUCAGCACUUUCUUUUUAAAACUCCUAGAAUCCAACUAAUGAAAACUAAUUUGCUGAAAAAUCAAUGUGCUGAAUUCUUAACGAUUUGGGGAAAAUUUGAGUUUCACUCUAGUCCUGGGUGGUACCAGACAAACACCUUCAACCAAGUCUAGGUCAAUUCACUGCAGCUGUCCUGCAGCCAGAGGCAGCAGCAUGGAUGAUAGCAAAGCAAAAUCUUGGGGGGGAAAUCCCUAGGCAUGGGUUGACUUGGUCACUUAGCAAUUGGGUAUACAGGGGAGGAUCCCAGGCAGUGGGGUGGCCUCUUUCCAUGGGGCCCAGGGCCAAGCUGGGGGUGGGAUUAGAAGCGAAGAUGAGGGGUAGCAAGGUCCAUCUCAAAGUGGAGCUUUUCCAACAUACUGAGAGCCAUGAGCUGAGCCACACCCCAAGAAGAUGCUCUGGUAAAUCUGCAUGAUCUUGGCUUGACACUGGAAUCUUAGGUAUGACACCUAAAGUACAGACAACAAAAGAAAAAAUAGAUCAAUUGGAUUUCAUCAAAAUUAAAACUUUUUUGUAUCAAAGGACGUUAUCAAGAAAGUGAAAAGACAAACUACAGAAUAGGAGAAAGUAUUUGUAAAUCAUAUAUCUGAUAUACAUCCAGAAUAUAUAAAGAACUCUUAUGAAAGACAAACAUCAUAUGAUUUCACUCAUAUGUGGAAGAUAAACAAACACACAGAUAAGGAGAACAGAUUAGUGGUUACCAGAGGUGAAGGGGGUUACUGGAGAGGAAGGGAGGGUGAAAGGGGUAAAGAGGCAUGUGUGUGUGGUGACAGAUAAAAACUAGACUAUUGGUGGUGAGCACGAUACAGUCUAUACAGAAACUGAAAUAUAAUAAUGUACACCUGAAAUU